CCCCCAAGUGGAGGAGUUUAAGUAUUUCGGGGUCUUGUUCACGAGUGAGGGAAUGAUGGAAUAGGAGAUCUACAGGCGGAUCGGUGCAGCGUCAGCAGUGGUGCAGGCACUGCAUCGGUCUGUCAUGGUGAAGAAAGAGCUGAGCCAAAAGGCAAAGCUCUCGAUUUAACAGUCGACCUACGUUCCUACCAUCACCUAUGGUCACAAGCUGUAGGUAGUGACCAAAAAAAUGACAUUGCGAGUGAGUGUGUGAGAGCAAGUGAGUGUGUGUGAGACAGAAAGUGAUGAGUGUGUAUUUGACCUGGUUUGUAAUUUUGUACUUUUGAAUCUUUUGUCAAUUCAGGUCAAGGAGGAAUUUCAGAAUAACAACAGUUUCCCUGGAGCAGAGGUUCAUGUUUAAACUUGAGCACUACACACCAAAACUUACUGUCCAGAUGAAGGCCAAGGGAGGUGUCAUGGGGACCAAGCUGAGACCCUUCCUGGACAAACUGAGCUAGAACCAAAGACUUGAGAUGAGAUGUGAAGCUGUUAUCCAUAGCAUCAUUGUGUACCUUGGGGAGAAAAAGGAGAAACUUCUUGAAGAUUGCCUGGAGGACAGUCGCAGUGAUGCCACUCAACACGUCCUCAAGAUCCUGGUCGUCCAUGGUGCUGAUGGAGAGGAGCCAGUGGAUGUGUCCAUCCUUCUUGAAGGCCAGGAGAUGAUGUCUGGAUGUGGCAGUACUGCGAAAACUUGCAUGCUGCUUAUGGGGCUCAUGUAUGGCCUCAACCUUGCAUACCCCCCAAAACUGCGCUACACUUUUGAGGUAUUUCAGAAACUAUUUCUGUAAUUAGAUGUGAUCAAGAUGUCCCCAAAAGGUGCAAGCGUUAAAGUUGAAAUUUCUCUCUUAGAAGUUCAAUAUCUAAUUGUUGGCUUUGAAAACGAUUUUCCUGUUUGUAAGAUGGUUUAAAUGUUAAAUUGUAAAUUGCAGGAAUGUCUAAAUGUUGUAGUUGUGCUGUAACAGAGUUUUAAGGUUUUAAUUCUGGCUGUUGACAUUUUGUGUAAAAUAAGGGUUUUAAUCCUCAGGGAAAUUUAAGAAGUUUUUUUAAAUUGUUAAAUACUUAUUUUCUCUGUGUGUGAGUGUGCGUGAGAGUGACAUACUGUGUGUU